UGGGGGCCCUACGGGAGGCAGCAGUGGGGAAUUUUGGACAAUGGGCGCAAGCCUGAUCCAGCAAUGCCGCGUGAGUGAAGAAGGCCUUCGGGUUGUAAAGCUCUUUUGUCAGGGAAGAAACGGCUGCGGCUAAUAUCUGGGGCUAAUGACGGUACCUGAAGAAUAAGCACCGGCUAACUACGUGCCAGCAGCCGCGGUAAUACGUAGGGUGCAAGCGUUAAUCGGAAUUACUGGGCGUAAAGCGUGCGCAGGCGGUUUUGUAAGUCUGACGUGAAAGCCCCGGGCUCAACCUGGGAAUUGCGUUGGAGACUGCAAGGCUUGAAUCUGGCAGAGGGGGGUAGAAUUCCACGUGUAGCAGUGAAAUGCGUAGAGAUGUGGAGGAACACCGAUGGCGAAGGCAGCCCCCUGGGUCAAGAUUGACGCUCAUGCACGAAAGCGUGGGGAGCAAACAGGAUUAGAUACCCUGGUAGUCCACGCCCUAAACGAUGUCUACUAGUUGUCGGGUUUUAAUUAACUUGGUAACGCAGCUAACGCGUGAAGUAGACCGCCGCGAC
rnacentral:rRNA from 1 species